UACGGGGGGUGCAAGCGUUAUCCGGAUUCACUGGGUUUAAAGGGUGCGUAGGUGGGCAGGUAAGUCAGUGGUGAAAUCUCCGGGCUUAACUCGGAAACUGCCAUUGAUACUAUCUGUCUUGAAUACCGUGGAGGUCAGCGGAAUAUGUCAUGUAGCGGUGAAAUGCUUAGAUAUGACAUAGAACACCAAUUGCGAAGGCAGCUGGCUACACGAAUAUUGACACUGAUGCACGAAAGCGUGGGGAUCAAACAGG
rnacentral:rRNA from 1 species